AGUCGGGAUCAGAGUUAGGUGUGUUUUACCUGCUAGUCGGGAUCAGAGUUAGGUGUGUUUUACCUGCUAGUCAGGUUCAGAGUUAGGUGUGUUUUACCUGCUAGUCGGGAUCAGAGUUAGGUGUGUUUUACCUGCUAGUCGGGAUCAGAGUUAGGUGUGUUUUACCUGCUAGUCAGGAUCAGAGUUAGGUGUGUUUUACCUGCUAGUCAGGAUCAGAGUUAGGUGUGUUUUACCUGCUAGUCAGGAUCAGAGUUAGGUGUGUUUUACCUGCUAGUCAGGAUCAGAGUUAGGUGUGUUUUACCUGCUAGUCAGGAUCAGAGUUAGGUGUGUUUUACCUGCUAGUCAGGAUCAGAGUUAGGUGUGUUUUACCUGCUAGUCGGGAUCAGAGAUAGGUGUGUUUUACCUGCUAGUCAGGAUCAGAGUUAGGUGUGUUUUACCUGCUAGUCGGGAUCAGAGAUAGGUGUGUUUUACCUGCUAGUCAGGAUCAGAGUUAGGUGUGUUUUACCUGCUAGUCAGGAUCAGAGAUAGGUGUGUUUUACCUGCUAGUCGAGAUCAGAGAUAG